AGUCGAGGGGUAACAGGGAGCUUGCUCCGCUGACGACCGGCGCACGGGUGCGCACCGCGUAUGGAACCUACCUUGUACAGGGGAAUAGCCCAGGGAAACUUGGAUUAAUGCCCCGUGGUACCAUGACCCGGCAUCGGGAUAUGGUUAAAGCCUUCGGGCGGUACAAGAUGGCCAUGCGUCCCAUUAGUUUGUUGGUAAGGUAACGGCUUACCAAGACUACGAUGGGUAGGGGCCCUGAGAGGGGGAUCCCCCACACUGGUACUGAGACACGGACCAGACUCCUACGGGAGGCAGCAGUGAGGAAUAUUGGACAAUGGAGGAGACUCUGAUCCAGCCAUGCCGCGUGCAGGAAGAAUGCCCUAUGGGUAGUAAACUGCUUUUAUACGGGAAGAAAAAGAGCUACGUGUAGCUUACUGACGGUACCGUAAGAAUAAGGACCGGCUAACUCCGUGCCAGCAGCCGCGGUAAUACGGAGGGUCCGAGCGUUAUCCGGAAUUAUUGGGUUUAAAGGGUCCGUAGGCGGGCCGAUAAGUCAGGGGUGAAAGUCUGCCGCUCAACCGGUAGAACUGCCUUUGAUACUGUCGGUCUUGAGUUAUAGUGAAGUUGCCGGAAUAUGUAGUGUAGCGGUGAAAUGCAUAGAUAUUACAUAGAACACCGAUUGCGAAGGCAGGUGACUAACUAUAUACUGACGCUGAUGGACGAAAGCGUGGGGAGCGAACAGGAUUAGAUACCCUGGUAGUCCACGCCGUAAACGAUGGAUACUAGCUGUCCGGAACCUUGAGUUCUGGGCGGCCAAGCGAAAGUGAUAAGUAUCCCACCCUGGGGGAGUACGUUCGCAAGAAUGAAACUCAAAGGAAUUGACGGGGGCCCGCACAAGCGGUGGAGCAUGUGGUUUAAUUCGAUGAUACGCGAGGAACCUUACCAGGGCUUAAAUGCAUAUUGACAGGUCUAGAGAUAGAUUUUCCUUCGGGCAAUUUGCAAGGUGCUGCAUGGUUGUCGUCAGCUCGUGCCGUGAGGUGUCAGGUUAAGUCCUAUAACGAGCGCAACCCCUACCGUUAGUUGCCAGCAUGUCAUGAUGGGGACUCUAACGGGACUGCCGGUGCAAACCGUGAGGAAGGUGGGGAUGACGUCAAAUCAUCACGGCCCUUACGUCCUGGGCCACACACGUGCUACAAUGGCAGGUACAGAGAGCAGCCAUGUCGCAAGGCAGAGCGAAUCUAUAAAACCUGUCACAGUUCGGAUCGGGGUCUGCAACUCGACCCCGUGAAGCUGGAAUCGCUAGUAAUCGGAUAUCAGCCAUGAUCCGGUGAAUACGUUCCCGGGCCUUGUACACACCGCCCGUCAAGCCAUGGAAGCCGGGAGUGCCUGAAGUC
rnacentral:rRNA from 1 species